GGCUGUCAUUCAUCGUGUCCAGCACCAGGCCUUCUGUCAGAGACCGGUUGGCAGAGAGGCUGGCGACCUGCGGCUCGGUGGAGCCGAGCUUGGGGACUUCCAUCUCUGAGGGGGAACAGCUGCUGAAGGGGUCAGAGGCUGGAUUUCUUCCUCCUUGAUGGGCUGGACCGGAAGCAGAGGAGACAGCCCCUCUCUGAGCGGGAGUUUCUCCUCUUUCACUGGUCCUGCAGCGGGCAGGGGGGCCGCCCCGUCGUCCGCCCCCAGCACCUGAAAGGGGGGCAGGAGGAGGUGAAGGCGGGGCGCCGAGGUUCAGUCAGACCACCGCUAAAAUGAGUGGCCUGUUGGUGCUGAUCCCCUUUUGUCUUUUUAAAAAGUCUCAAAAACAAUUAAAUAUGAGACUAUAUGAUGAAGGUGGUAGUUCAAUUCCAGGAGUAAAAGACAGAGCAUUUAACAGGGUGCUGGCAUGGUUAGUAUCCACCUGAGGGAAAACGAAGCGGGAGGCCUGUUCCGUACCGUAUACAAAGAUCAUAGCAGAGAACCCAAAACCACAUGAAUCCUGAAAGGGAACCUAGGAGACUGCGUGUACAGUCUGAGGGUGGGGGCUGACCUGCUUUACCAAGACUGGAAACCCAGAAGCUGCAGAAGAGAAGAGACACAUAUCUGACCACAUAAAAAUUUAAACUCUCCCUGUGGCAAGGGAUACCAUAAACAUUGUUAAGAAACAAUAGAAAUGAAAAGUAUCUUCAGCCUAAAAGACAGGUUAAUAUUUGAAUAACAAAGGACUCUCACAGAUGAACAGAAGCCUGCAAAAGAGAGGCCACGCCCGCAAACCAGCAUCUCACGGUGAGCAAGUCCAAGGACCAGACUCCGUGGGAAGGCACUCACCUGCCAACAAGCAAAGAAAGUCAAAGGAAACAAGGAGACACCCCUCAUACCAUAGUGGGGGAAAUAUUUAAAAGGCUGCUGAUAUCAACUGCUGGCAGACGUAGGUCUUGCUGGUGGGUAUGUGAAUUAUCACAGACUUUUUUGGGAACCCAUCUUGCAAUAUUUAAUAAAAUUUAAAAUGCCUGUCCACUCAGCAA